GGGCGGAGGUCGUGGUGGCGGCGUCGUGCAGCGAGCUGGACCCAGGGCCGCAGCAGAUCGGAGGCCGAGGAGGAGCAGGGGUUCCCGGCCCCGCCGCCCGCCGUACAGCCCAAGGCACCCAGACCCAGCAUCCCACAUUUCACCCAUGAAGUGGAUCUACUCGCCUAUCGGGCCUCCAGGGUCUUGUGGAGUGACUCUCGCACCCAUUGCUCCAGGACAGACAGUGCUGGAAAUCAGGCUGAGGCUGUCAGCGUGGCAGUACGAAGGACACUGGAUUCUCAGCCACAUAGACCCUCCUACGCCCACGCCAGGACUGAGGUCAGCAGGCCGGGGUGUGGCGGUCAUCCUGUGAUCAGGCAGGAACACCAAGAGAACUGCUAGAAUGUGGACCAACCUGAUGUCCUGAGUCACAGAGCUCCUGCCUAACACUGGACUUCAUAUAAUGUCAGAUGACUGAAUACCUUAAUGCUCUGAGCCACAGUGGGCUGGCUGGUAUUCCGCUACCUGUGCUAAAAAGCAUCCUACGAGAGGUACACCGUGCUGGAAUAGGAAAAGUGUUUCUUGUAUCUUAUUAACACACUUCAAGAUGCUCAUGUGCUUCAGCAAUCCCUGCAGUCAAAAGGGUCCUCCACUCCCCAGUAAACAAGGCCCAGCCAGCCAGAUUCCCUCCAUCCUCACCUUCCUCCCGUCCCAGGGGAGCCAGGAAAGCCAUGCAUGCACCAACACGGAUGCCCUGUGUUCCUCCUCAUCAGCCUGCUGAGUCCUCCUGGACCUGACAAGAGGCAGUACUGCAGCCUCGCCCAGCCCCGGGAACGUGGUCUUCCUUACUACAAUCCCCUUCAUCCUUUGGAGGGCAACAAGAUGGUAUUUUAUAAGGAGGUAUCAAUCAGAAAAAAGGGAUAUUACUUUGAUUAUCUAUGUAAGAGAAUAAUAAGUACCAUUCUUAGUACUUGUAAGCGUUCGCUAGGUUGUGCUGUGGUAACAAAGGAUCCCGAAGUCUCAGUGACUCGAAAUCACAAUGGCUUACUUCUUGCUGACGGCUGUACUUCACGUGCCUUUGUUACAGGAUCUGGGGUGAAAAAUCAGCUCUCACUGUGCACAUGCUGUGUUCAUGCUGGGGGCAGAAAGGGAGGGACUAAACCACAAAACACCUUUUAGAGCUUCUGCCUGAACGGGGCACAAGACAGCAGAAUACUUUACAUCACCAUUUGGAAGUCUCACAGCUAAGCUGGACGUCAAGGAAGGGCAGGCCGGGUGCGGUGGUUCACGUCUGUAAUCCCAAUACUUAAGGAGGCUGACAUGGGUGGAUCACCCGAGGUCAGGAGUUCGAGACCAGCCUGGCAAACAUAGUGAAACCCCAUCUCUACUAAAAAUACAAUAAUUAGCUGGGCGUGGUGGCAGGCGCCUGUAAUCUCAGCUACUUGGGAGUUGAGGCAGAAUAGGCUGAACCCGGGAGGUGGAGGUUGCAGUGAGCCGAGAUCAUGCCAUUGCACCCCAUUCUGGGCCACAAGAGAGAAACUCCGUUUCAAAAAAAAAAAAAAA
ensembl:lncRNA